AAGGAGUACAAGGGGUACUCAUCCCUUACAAUUCAAAUAAAAUCACCCUAGACAGACUAAAGGAUUGUUACACCAGUCAGAAAAUGCUAAAUUAACAUUAUUCCCUAAUCGCCCUAAAAGCCAAAACCAAGAAAUGUAAAUAAUUUUGUUCACUAAAGAAGAUACAUUAACUCAAUCUCCUCUAAAUACAAUAUUAUUUCGAAAGCACCCAGUUAACAUUUUUGUGCCCCCAUAGGUUGUGAAUGAGAAAAUCAUCGCUUUCUUUGUUUCUUGAAGUAAACAAACAUCGAAAACACGUUUUUGAAGAAACAAACUCAACUGCCGCUGUUUAGCACUUUCACCCCACCCUCUCAUAUUCAAAGAGACGAUCUUCAAUGAUGGAGAGAUUGUUGUUGCUCCCUCCUAAAUAUCAUAUUCAUAAUUAUCAUAUUAGUAGAGCAUUUUUUUAUUGAAGAAUAACUAUAAUGCUUCUGUAUUUUUUUUGAACGGCCAAAUGAUAUUUAUAUUUAAAAAACGAAUUGGAAAAAAGUACAAGUGGUACUCAAUUCAUUUCUAAAGAAAAAGUACAAAUAGUACUCCACCCAAUCCGAAGAAACCAUACCCAAAACUAUCAGCUAUACAAUCAAAAGGAUUCGUACACCACUCAUAAAACAAGCAAGGUGUACCAAUCUUUUUUGCCAAAAGCCAUUUUUAAGAAACAAGCUUAAUUCUAUCCACCAUCUCUUGUAGCUCUACAAUUCUCCCCAAAAAAAUCCUAUCAUUCCGAGAGCGCCAUAAAGUCCAAAUGUUGGGAUGAUUGACAUAUAGUAGAUGCAUCAUUUUCUAUAAUUCUAGAGAGAUUUGAAGAAUUGGAACGAAUGUGACACAUAUAGUCCUUGUGUGACCGGUGGCAAUGUGGCCUUCGGUUUUCCCGAUUCCAUGAUAUUUUUUUAGUUUGAGUUGCUUUUGGUUUUCCAUUUGAUGAAGUGAAUGGUGCCCUUAUCGUACUUCUUAUGGUUAUCUAACUAAGACAUUAAUUUGUUCUUCACAAUUUGACAUGCCUGCAGUACAUGCAGCAACCAAAAUAUUUCACAGUUUUGAAAUCGUAACUCUAGGAAUAACAUAGAUCUAAUAAUAUUGUGAUGAUUCAAUUUCUAUAUCAAUUGUUUUUAUAACAAUAUGCUAAUUCAUAUUUUUCUUUUGUGUUUUCGAAUUAAUUAUUUUCUAAAAAAAUAAAAAUUUAAUGUGUUCAUCAUCUUCUUCUGUGUAUUCAUAAUCUUCAUCACCAUGUGUUCAUCAUUUUCACCAAUUUCAUCAAAAUCCCAAAAAUUUAAAAAACACUGUUGUCAAAAUUAAUUAACUCAAACAAAUCAAAAUUAUUUUCGGUAAACCUUAAACAUAUUCAUCAUCUUCAAAAAUCAAAAUCCCUAAAUUGAUCAUAUUGCAUGAUACUCUACUACUUGAAGUAAGGUUUUGCUUAUCAAAAAAAAAAAAAAAAACUUGAAGUAAGGUUUUAUUCUACACUUGAUUAUAUUGUUUAGUACAAUAUACAUUAAAGUGAAAAAUCGCGAAACAGAAUGAGAACUUUGUUUAGAAUCAAUUAUGAGGGAAUCUUGGAUUAUAGAGUAAAAUAUCAUUAUAGAAUAAUUUUCUUUUGAACUGUAGGUACUUGUUGAUGGCAUUAAUGCAUAUUCCAUUUUAUGGCUUCUUUUUGGUGAUUCUAGAAACGAAACACUAUUUCUUGUCAAAAUGGUUUCCAUCAUCUAUUUCCGCUUUAUUGUCAAACAAUAUUAUUUUUAAUUUGUGAUUUUUCGUUUUCUAUCAUGAAAGCUUAUAAACUAAUUAAAGAAAAAUUGUUAAAAAAUAUGGAUUAUUUAAAUUUGUAUAUUUUACAUGACCUCUUUACAAAAGUUGUUAAAGGGGCAACACAUUGGUGUACUUAAUUAAGAGACAGCUAAUAAUUAUAAACAAAAAAUGGAAGUUUUUCACAACUCUGAAAGUACUAUAAAAACUAUUUAUUAAUUGAUGUAAGGAGAACAAUAGCUUUAUAAAUCAAGACGUGAUAAAGUACAAUUCUAUGUAAUACAUCCAAAAGGUGGAGAAAAUAUGGAUAAAAUUUUCAAGUUUGUUAAUGUUGUGAUAAUCAUUCUUUCCCUAUUACUUGUUUCAAUACAAAGUCAGGUUUAUGCUGCCAAGCCAUGUAAAACUGAUGGUGAUUGUCGAGUCCGUUCCUACCGUGCUUCCCAUCAAUAUCCUGUAAGAAUGAGGUGUCGUAAUGGUUUUUGUAUAGAAGGCUAAUUAUAAACGUAUUACUAAAAUAUUCCAUGAAUUCUUCUUUAGGUGAUGUGAUCACCCAUUAAAUAAAUUUUCUUUUAGCUUUUCUAAUUUCAAAUACCUUAUUAGUUUUGUACUUUAAGAUGAUGUAAGCGAAAUGAAAUAAAGCAUGAAAAAUAUUAUCUAAAUUUUCUUCUUCUA